rnacentral:rRNA from 1 species
GACGAACCGUCCUAACGUUGUUCGGGAUCACUGGGCUUAAAGGGCGCGUAGGCGGGUUCCCAAGUCGGUGGUGAAAUCUUUCGGCCCAACCGGAAAACAGCCGCCGAUACUGGGAGUCUUGAGGGAGGUAGGGGUCGAUGGAACUUCCGGUGGAGCGGUGAAAUGCGUAGAUAUCGGAAGGAACGCCGGUGGCGAAAGCGAUCGACUGGACCUUUUCUGACGCUGAGGCGCGAAAGCCAGGGGAGCAAACGGG